CAAUAGCGUAUAUUAAAGUUGUUGCGGUUAAAAAGCUCGUAGUUGGAUUUCUGCCGAGGACGACCGGUCCGCCCUCUGGGUGUGUAUCUGGUUUGGCCUGGGCAUCUUCUUGGAGAACGUAGCUGCACUUGACUGUGUGGUGCGGUGUCCAGGACUUUUACUUUGAGGAAAUUAGAGUGUUUCAAGCAGGCACACGCCUUGAAUACAUUAGCAUGGGAUAAUAAGAUAGGACCUCGGUUCUAUUUUGUUGGUUUCUAGAGCUGAGGUAAUGAUUAAUAGGGAUAGUUGGGGGCAUUCGUAUUUAACUGUCAGAGGUGAAAUUCUUGGAUUUGUUAAAGACGGACUACUGCGAAGGCAUUUGCCAAGGAUGUUUUCAUUGA
rnacentral:rRNA from 1 species